AGACACAUAAAUUUAGGACAGACAAACUCUGACACACACACAAGCUUACUACAGACAAGCUCACUGUCACACACACACGCUCACUACAGACAAGCUCACUGAUGCGCACACACUCUCCCUACAGACAAGCCCAUUGACACACACAUGCUCCCUACAGAAGAGCUCACUAACACAGAUUCAUUACAGACAAGCUCACUGACACACACAUGCUCACUACAGACAAGCUCACUGACACACACGCUCACUACAGACAAGCUCACUGACACACACGCUCACUACAGACAAGCUCACUGACACAUAUGGUCACUACAGACAAGCUCACUGACACACACGCUCACUACAG